GCCCAAGCAAACCCCAUUCCACGGGCCGGAUUCCCCACCACUUACCCACCCCAAACCCUAGGUUUCCCAUGGUGCAAGCCGCACCCAGCUCCGCCACCGCCGCCCCCGCCCCCGACGCUGACCCCGCCACACCCCGCCGUCCCGUCUCCUCUCGAAACAUCGCCCGCGACGCCGUGCAGCGCCCCCCCGCCCGACCUUGCCGCACCCCGCGCCCACGCGCGGCCUGCCCGAUCUGAACCGCUGCCACUGCUGCUCCGUUCGCUUCCAGCAGCCGGCGCCGGGCGCCAAGCGACGUCCACUCCGUCCCCUCCGCUCCCUCUGGCGCGUCGUCCUCCUCUGCUCUGAAUGUAUCUCCCUCCUUCGCUCUGGCGCCGUCUGCUCCUACUGCCUCAACCUCGACAACCUGCCGCACGAUGACUCGGUCACCUGCCGCAGCUGCAACUGCUGCGUCCACCACCACUGCAUCCCCGCUGAGCACCGUACUGCCCUGAUCCAGCCUGUAGAUUUGGAGAAUUUCGUCUGCAUCGAUUGCUGCCCCACAGUGAAGGUGGGUAGCAAGAAUGAGGGCGCCGAAUCCGUUCCUAAGCUGGAGUUGGUCAUCAGAGAGCCUAGUCCUGCAUUGCGGAGGAAGGGGGGGCCUGUCGCUGCUGCUAAGUUGAAUUCGCCGAGGAAGGUUGUGGAGGAGGUGAGGCCAGCUUGGAAGGAUGCGAUGGCCCUCGUUCCUGUAGGCGAGGGGUCAGAGAGCGAGGGUCCCGGCGAUCGGGACCUGCCAGACGAGGCAUUGGCGCUGCAGCUUCAUUUGGCGAUCAACGGGUCACUGAGGAUUUCACGUUCUGGCAGUGCAUCUGUGUCUGUCUUGGCAGGGCAGUGCAAGAGGCAGGCCAAGAGGCAGAAUGGAUUGGUUUACGGAAGGAAGGUUAAUGAGGAUCUGGGACUUUGUGUAACCAAUAUGAUGGAUCAUCUGGACUAUCUUGAGACCGGAGCAGAGAUGGGAAGCAACUGGAAUGCUAGUCAGGAUUUAGGAUCUGAUCCCACAGUCCCUGUGGUUCUUGCACUGGAGUGUAAAGGUAAACACCCUCAGGAGAGUCCGAGAGGUGAAAGGAAAGGUCUUCCUGAGACUAAACAACAUAAUAGUUUGGUGGAUUGGCAUAAGGUGGAUCGGUAUGAGAAGAAGUAUAGCAAGAGGAAGUCAAGUAAGCAGACAGAUGCUGAAAGCACUGGAAACAAGACCUUGCCCAAUGGAAAGGACAUGGAUGUUGGUGAAGGUGGUGAGGGCAUAACUCCUAUGACAUAGACUGCUGCUUCUUUUUGGAGGUAAUUCGUGAUAACAGUAGUUUGCAUCCAGCAAUACAGGAUUGAAGCUAGCAACAUGUUGGUGGCUUUGAUAGCAGCUACAAUCAAAGUUAUAGGUACGUUCGGACAAAUGAGAUGCUUCAUGAAGGAAUCAGUAGUAGCAGUACUUCAUACCAGCUACAUGCCAUCAACAACCAAUAACAUGUUAAAAUUGUACUAGCUGGUUUUUACUGCUUACAUGGUUCAGCAACAUUAAUUGUUGAAGGCAGUGGUGAGGCAUGUGUGGAUUUUUUGGGUUGAGAUGAACUUUUUGUGGCUGCAAAUUAGCAAAUACAAGCGAAGUUAUAGGAUGUUUUGACAAAUGAGAUGCUUCAUGAAGGAGUCAACAGUAGCAGUACUUCAUGCCAGCUACAUGCAAUCAACAACCAAUAACAUAUUAAAUUUUAGUCGCUUGUUUUCUUACAAGUGAUUACAUGGUUGAACAACAUUAAAUGUUGAAGAUACCAGCGAGGCAUUCAUGGAACUGUGGGUUGACAUGAUUUUUAAGUAUUGGUGUUCUGCUUGUACUGCUUGUAGAUGGUGCUAAAAUUAUGUGACAUUGUAUGUUUAGUGAAUGGUAGUUUUUAAUUUCAUGUCAGACUUAUACUA